rnacentral:rRNA from 1 species
CCUACGGGAGGCAGCAGUGGGGAAUAUUGGGCAAUGGACGCAAGUCUGACCCAGCAACGCCGCGUGAAGGAAGAAGGCUUUCUGGUUGUAAACUUCUUUUAAUGGGGAAGAGCAGAAGACGGUACCCCUUGAAUAAGCCACGGCUAACUACGUGCCAGCAGCCGCGGUAAUACGUAGGUGGCAAGCGUUGUCCGGAUUUACUGGGUGUAAAGGGCGUGCAGCCGGAGAGACAAGUCAGAUGUGAAAGCCACGGGCUCAACCCGUGAACUGCAUUUGAAACUGUUUCCCUUGAGUGUCGGAGAGGUAAUCGGAAUUCCUUGUGUAGCGGUGAAAUGCGUAGAUAUAAGGAAGAACACCAGUGGCGAAGGCGGAUUACUGGACGAUAACUGACGGUGAGGCGCGAAAGCGUGGGGAGCAAACAGGAUUAGAUACCCUUGUAGUC